rnacentral:lncRNA from 1 species
CGUUUACAAACCUUUAGCUAGACACAAAAGUUCUCCAAGUCCCCUACCUGAUUAGCUAGACACAGAGCGCUGACUGGUGCGUUUACAAACCUUUAGCUAGACACAGUGCUGAUUGGUGCGUUUACAAUCUUUUAGCUAGACAGAAAAGUUCUCCAAGUCCCCAUCCGUCCCAGAAGCCCAGCCGGCUUCAUCUCUCACUGGCAUUGGCAGGGCAGCGGGACUUUGCGACACCUAGCCCGGGCACUCCAGCAGCCCAGAGGGAGCUCCUCCCAGACAAUCAAGAGGGAAAGAGGGGAAGCAGAAAGAGACGGAGACCUGCUAUCUUGGCCAACGAUCCCGUGAAGAGGGAACGGCGGUCUACGCAGGGAAUUCAGCUUCCUAUCAAGCCUAGCAGGUGCUGGGCUUCGUUGCUGUUUCUGGCAGAGUCCUGCUUCUCGCGCCCGCUGCACUGGGUUUGGCGUCUCUGCUGUUCGCUGAGAUCUGCACACUCCAGGAGCCAUAGGGAGGACGCCAGGACAGCCCCGAAGACGAGAAUGCCUCGCUCCUCCUAGGACGGGAGGAAAAUCCCACAAAUCCUGUCUACUCCAAGCAGCCGCGCCCCUCGGGAGACCACCCCAGUUGGAGGGGCCCACUCCAGCCACCGCUACACCGGGACGCGCUCCUCCUCCCCCUGUGCCCGCCCCUUCUCGUGAGGGACCACCAGGAGGCCCCUCGAUUCCCCAGCAAAACACAGGUUUUGGAGCCAGAGUUUCUGAGUUUGAAUGUUUGGUCUGCUACUGACCAACUCUAUGGGCUUGGGCCUGCAAAGAAAACAUCAAAGAAGAAGGUCAAAAACCAAUUACAUUCUAGGAGUGACCUUGAUGACUUAACUCUGUAAUCUGCAGCAACCUCAGAGGAUCAUGGGAUGCAUUAUGCACGUCAUGGAAUGGAUUGUAAUGUGUAACAUCUAUGAAAUCAAAGGAUGAAGAAGAUCGUGCCCAGAGCUCUCCUUGGGGGUGGAUGACAGAAUGAACAUUUACUCUGGGCUCACUGGAAAAGCUCCAACGUCUUGGAAAUUGAGUGGGUAUAAGGAAUGCACAAAUUAGUUUUCCUGUGACAGCAUGCAGAGCACUUUUCCAAGGUGAGGCUAUGGGCAUCUCCACAACUGGGAAACAGGCUCAGUUUGAGCCACUUCUAUUUAGGAGGAGUAAAUCAUACAGGAUGAUAUUAUGUCAUAUUUUUAGAACACCAAGAUGUUAUAGAAGACAAUUCAUCUCCCCAGGUAAACUGGUGUUCAUCUUAUUUGACCAGGUAUUUGUUGAUCUUUGGUCAGGUAACUCAUUCAUUUUGUAGAAAAUAUAAUUUUUAAAAAAUUGUAAGUAGUCACUGUGUAGAAUCAGGAUGUCACCAAAAGCAUUUUUGAUACCUGUGUCUGAUUCCUUCAACAUCAGGUUGGGGUUAAGUUAAAGUGGUUAUUUUGGUACAAAGCAGCUAUGUGUCAUGGCAUUAGCCCUGACUUGGAAGCUUAUCUCCUGGGUUUGAGUGCCCCUCUGGAACUUGCUAAGCUGCGAGAUACCAAGCAAGUUGAUACAUCUCUACUUUCUUCAAGAUAUACAAUACACAUUUUAUUUAAUUAACCCAUUCAACCCUCACGGCAGCCCUCACCUGAGUUGUGGUUGUUCACUAUCUGUACUCCUCAGAUGAAGAAACUAAGGUGCUAAAUGCAUAUGCCCAAGCAUACAAGCCCCUAAGGAAAGGAGGUAACAUAUGCCUAGGCAUGUGGCCCUGGUGUUAAUACAAUCAAUUAUUGAACUGCAGUUAUCACCCCAAAAAGGGUGGCUCACAACCCUGCCAUCAGUUGUAACCAUAAGGUGAUUCCCUUACCCAUGCCAGUCCUAGGUUUACAUGGGUCUACAGAAAUCCCAAACAUCGUCUACAAGGUGGCUACAGUAGUCACAGAGCUUAGGGAAAACAUCAGCAUUUGAAACUGCAAGAUUUAACAUAGCCAUUGGUGAUAAAAGGACAUAGAAGGCCCGUAUACCUCUGAUACUAGGGACAAAUACAAGUUUCUGAAUAUUAGGAAGCAGCACUUAGAAAUAUUCAUAAACACUUUGGGAUGCCCAGGCGGGUGGCUCACGAGGUCAAGAGAUUGAGACCAUCCUGGCCAACAUGGUGAAAUCCUAUCUCUACUAAAAAUACAAAAAUUAGCUGGGUCUGGUGGCAUGUGCCUGUAGUCCCAGCUACUCCAGAGGCUGAGACAGGAGAAUCACUUGAACCCAGGAGGCGGAGGCUGCAGUGAGCCAAGAUCGCACCACUGCACUCCAGCCCGGUGACAGAGCAAGACUCUGUCUCAAAAGAAAAAAAAAUAGCAGUUUAAAAAUAAUGUUAUAGUUGAUAGAAUUUGUGAGGAGGGAUGUGUAAGGGACAUGUAAGGAUUUCAAUUGUUUUGGGACUUUGUGACUAUUUACAUAGAUACAUCACACAAGGAGCUUUAGAACACACUUUACAAGUUAUAAACAUAACCAAUAGACAAAUGGAAAAUAAUGAUGAUGGAGCUAAUAAGAGUUUUAUGGUAGAGACAAGUGGGAGAAUUUUGUGAUAAAUAGUUGACUUUUUAAAAUUAUGAAUACAGAAAGAUGAAUUUUAAGCAUGUUAUUUAGAAUCUUAGGAAGUACCAGAACAACUAAUAACAGAAACAAAAACUGUGCCUAUAGCCGAGUGGGUGUGGUAGGAGCUCUUUUCUGUAUUAUCUUGCUCUUCUUUAAAUUUUGAAUUCUUUGCACCACACAAUAAAUGAACGUACCUUGUAUUAUUGUAAAUAUUCCCCCAUCACUAACAUAUUUGUGUUUGGUUUCUGUUCAGCCCCGUCACCUGUCCUUAGUUCCUCUGAACUAUACAGAGGAACAAAUCAAUAUAAAUGCAGAAGAGAAAAGAUGAGAUCAGCUGAUUUUGGUGUUGAUAUGGGUAAUAUCUGAUUUACAUUCAGUUUUCAUGUGGGAUCUCUGUGCCUGGCUUGGUUUAAUGAUUCAAAGUGACAAUACAGUCAACUUCUGAGAAAAUGAUCUAUGGAAAAUUGAAAGUUUAAAAUAUUUUCUUCCUCCUAACUUUGAAGAGGACUUGUUUCAUAUCAAAUCUGCCUGUUCAUCUGCCUGUCCGUCCACUCACUGUUUAUCCAUGGAUCUUGGUGUUAGCUUCUGAGGUGGUAAUGAAUUCAAAACCCUUCUGUUCCUACUCUCAUAUUAAAGGUUCAAAAAUCAACCUUGAUUGCAAUGAAGCACUAAGCCCACAACCACAACUCAGGUGAGGGCUGCCUUGAGGGUUGAAUGGGUUAAUUAAAUAAAAUGUGUAUUAUAUAUCUCGAAGAAAGUAGAGGUAUAUCAACUUGCUUGGUAUCUCACAGCUUAGCAAGUUCCAGAGGGGCACUCAAACCCAGGAGAUAAGCUUCCAAGUCAGGGCUAAUGCCAUGACACCCAUGAUUUAUGGGUGGAUUGGUGGCAGGACAAGAUAGAAAGGAACCAGCGGUGGCUCAGGGUUUUGACCUGAGCAACCAGGGAGAGGAGGUGUCGUGUAGACAGAUAGGAAAGACACAAUUCUUUGAACACAUUUGGGACUCAGAUAGUCAAGGCAGCAAGGAUGAAGAUGGUUUGUCUCAUCACCCGUCUUCCAGGUGACUCUGGUGGGCUCCCUCUUUGAAAGGGUGCCUUCUGGGGGCUGACUUUCAGGCUAGCGGUUGGCUUCUUUUGACUGGGGGUCAAGUGGGCCUCCAGACACCCUGAGCUGCAUGGAGAACAGCAAGGGCCUUUUGCUCAUCUGCAGUGUACAGCACUGCCUCUACUUCAUCUUGAUGCUGCUCCUGGUCAGUCUUCUCGGCACGCUGGGGACCUCCUUACUCACAGACCCAAUUCCUGUUAAACAAGUUAAGUGCUGCCAGGUAGGGUGCUCUGGGGUGGACCCUGCAGUUCUAGGGAGUCACUGAAGAAUAGGGAAAUUCCUGCAUUGUCUUUGGAAAGGGGAGGGUUUGGGGGAGCAUUGGGGUGGGCAGAAACAGGCAGGUACAUUUUAAAGGGCUCAGCAGAGUGAAACAAAGCUGAACUCAACCAGAUGUCCUGCAGCGAUUUGCCAGGUAUUCCUUUAGAUCGAGAAGUUUGGCUUUUAAAAUGCAAAUUUUCCUUGGAAGUUUUAAAUCCACCAACCUUAGUAUGAAUUAAUGCAAUCAGGGCACUCCCAGCUGUUACCCACCCAGGGGGAAUGAAGCCAAUGGACAUUCAGCCCCCACUGUAGUGCAGUAGGUGAGAGCAUGGCAGGCUCUGGAGCAGACUGCCAGGAUGCCGAUCCUAGCCUUGCCCUUACUAGUGUGUGUGAUCCCGGAUGAAUAUUUAACUUUUCUGUGGCUCAGUUAAAUGGAUGUAAUAAUAUCUACCUCAAAGAUCAGUUAUGAGGAUUAAAUGAGUUAAUCAAUGUAAAGCACUUAGAACAGUGUUUCGCAUAUGUACGCCUCAUCUUAGUAUUAGCUGCUGUUAUUGUUACUAUUAAUAAACAAUCCUUGAAGAGCAAGAACCGAAUUAUCUGUGCCCCACAAUACCCAGCAUCACUCCAUUACUAUGACAGACCUGCCACAUGUAUUUCUUGGAUGGGUUACUCAAUGGAUCUCUUUGCCACUUCUACAUUUUUCUUCUUCUACUUUGUUUUAUAGCAGAGGAGGGGCAGAAUUUAGGUGGAGUUCAUUGCUCAGCUGGACUGAAAAAGCUGAACUGGAAUAACUUUCAGUGAACAUGGGCAGUGGGUAAACAUUGGGAAUUUGCAGACUUUCAAAUGAGUCCUCUCUCGAGCACACAUCCUCUAAGUUAGUAGCAACACCAUUAACUCUUUGAAGACUAGGAAGGCACAGUCUUAUUGUCUCUGUAUCCUUAGUCCCCAGCACAGGGGUUCGUAGAAGAGGAAUGACUGAAUCUUCAGGUGUCUGUGGGCUGCCAGGAGGACACUUGGCCAAGAACUAUGUCUCAUCUUGCUUUCUGAGACCUCUUCCCCUCUUUUACACUUGUUCCUGUCUUUUGAAUACCAGGAAGCCCAGGUUGCCUUCUGACCUUCAGAGGCCCUCACACCACCUAUUCCGGGGGCUCCAGUACCAUCUUUCCCUGUAAAUGAGGCAGCACAGACUUUGAAUUUAGGCAAACCUGGGUUCAAGUUUCAGCUUCACUGGUAUCUUGCUACACUCAUAACCGUAGACAAUUUUACUUAUUUUUGUUAAGUCUCAGUAUCUUCAUCUGCAAAAUGUGGAUAAUAGUAACUAUCUCAUGGAAUUGUCAUGAGGGAGUUUCUUAAAUGUAGUUAUGUACAGAACUCUUUUAAAGGAACUCCUAAAAUCUCAAUGUUUAUCCAAAUGAGUUUUUCAAUAAUGCUACUUGGAUACAUGCAAAUAUAAUGUUCUAUAAUAUUUAGCUAUAAAUUCAAUGUUUUUAUACAACCUAAACAAAAUUACAAACUAAAUACAAAUAAAACUAUAACAUUAAUAAAAUACAAAUUAACAAUUUUAAUGUAACAGAUAAUGUUUUGCUGAAAUUAAACGUUGCUGAUGUUGAGUUUAAUUGGGUGUUAAAUGUUUUACUUGUCAACUUGAGUCUUGAUUUUCAUAUGAGACAUCAUGAUUGCCUUAUUAUUUGUCCUUUUAAACAAU